CUUCGCCGCCGCGCGGCCAUGGAGGCCCCGGGGCCGCCGCCUACCUGCGCUGCCGGCUCCCCUCCGCUCUGCUGGCCCGCCCGGACGGAACUCACAGGUGAAAGGAAUAAAGUGAUCUGCUGGAAUUACAUGGAGAAAGAGAGAUGGGUGGAUCCUAUACUUAGAAGGGCAGAGGAACGUCACAUAGCAAAAGGUUAGUCUGGCUUCCAGCAGAGGCAGAAUUGAAUAACUAGCCAAUCAACAUGCAAAAUACUGAAGAAAGCAGCUCAGCACACAGCCAUCAGCCAAACAUGAGGUUAGCUUGCGGCUGCAGACAGGACGUCAUUUCCUACACUGCCUGAGAAAAUAUGAUUGUAUGAAGAGGAAGAACUGCAGAAUUUCCCUGCAACGGUUCCUUCAGCUUUUCUUCCAAAGGCUUGCUCCUGUCUCUCUAUCUGAAACCUGAGGCUGGUACUCCCUUCUCCACUUCCCUGGCUCCAGCAUGUGGACAUUGCUAUGGAGCCCAUCAACAAAUCACUGUGGAUGAUUUCCAUUUAUAUCUCAUGUCUCAGGAUACUUCCUCGCUGGGACUUCUCUCCUCUCUUGUGCAUCCCAUAACCCACUUCUUCACAUUGCUACUGGAACAAUCUGUGCCAGGGAGAUAUCUUCUGUUAAUGGGCCAUUGAGUCCCACUGCAU